rnacentral:rRNA from 1 species
AACGACUCUCGGCAACGGAUAUCUCGGCUCUCGCAUCGAUGAAGAACGUAGCGAAAUGCGAUACUUGGUGUGAAUUGCAGAAUCCCGUGAACCAUCGAGUCUUUGAACGCAAGUUGCGCCUGAAGCCAUCAGGCUGACGGCACGUCUGCCUGGGCGUCACGC